AAUCAACGCUGGCGGCGUGCCUCAGACAUGCAAGUCGAACGAUUAAAGCUCUCUUCGGAGAGUGUAUAGAGUGGCGCACGGGUGAGUAACACGUAAGUAAUCUACCCUCGAGUGGGGAAUAACAACCGGAAACGGUUGCUAAUACCGCAUAAUGCAGCGGCACCGCAAGGUGACAGUUGUUAAAGAUUUAUCGCUUGAGGAGGAGCUUGCGGCAGAUUAGCUAGUUGGUAGGGUAACGGCUUACCAAGGCUACGACCUGUAACCGGUCUAAGAGGACGGUCGGUCACACUGACACUGAAUAACGGGUCAGACUCCUACGGGAGGCAGCAGUCGGGAAUUUUGGGCAAUGGGCGAAAGCCUGACCCAGCAACGCCGCGUGAAGGAUGAAGUAUUUCGGUAUGUAAACUUCGAAAGAAUAGGAAGAAUUAAUGACGGUACUAUUUAUAAGGUCCGGCUAACUACGUGCCAGCAGCCGCGGUAAAGUCU
rnacentral:rRNA from 1 species